CACAGAACCCAAUAGUUGCAGAAAAUGAAUCAGAACAUCGUGGUCUACGAUCUUCAUUGUUAUCUCACAGUUCACGGAGAAAUGUGCCACACUGGAAAUAGUAAAAUCAACCCCACAAUUUUUAUUCAUACAAAACUCAAUUGGUGCCACCAAUUUUAAAUUGAUUGAAACCUGCGACUCUUUGGUGAGUUAACAGCAGUACUAAUCUAGCCCUCAAGUUUUCCAAGUGUUUGGAUGGUGAUUUAAUGACAAAGGAGAAAGGAAGAGCUGCCAGAGGAGGUAGUUGAGGCUGAUACUAUAACAAUAUUUAGAAGACAUUUGGGCAGGUACAUGGACAGGAAAGUUUUAGAGGGAUAUGGGCCAAACGGAGGCAGUUUGGACUAGUGUAGAUGGGCAACAUGGUCAGCAGGGGAAAGUUGGCCCGAUUGGCCUCCUUCAGUACUGUAUGUCUCUAUAACAUUCCCAAGGGCGUAUUUUGGGUGGGAAUGAACUUCACUUAUCAGACUGGAGUUCCCUGGGUCUAUGAGGAAAAUAAUACUGAAGAUAAGGCCUUUGUUCCAAUUCCUCGUACGAGAUUUAUACAAAUUGAAUGCAAUGCCACUCUGACAGCUUUACGGAUGAGAAAGUGCAUUUUGUAGAAAACCUAUUUGGUUAAGGAGUUAAAUAAAAUUAAAACCCUUUGGAAAAGCUUGAAAGGCAAAGUUUCCAUCUGAGCCGGUUUUGCUCAGAUUACAACUCUUCCAAAAGAAAAUAUAUUUUCUUGCACCAACUGGUGAGACAGAAUGACCCAGCCAUUAAAUGCUUGACCUUCAUGAGUCAAUGAAAGAUGAAGCCUUACCCAUUCCACUUCAGGGCUACACCAUUAUCUGAUAAAAUGGAUUAAAGCCAUUGUCCUCUGUUUAUCAACAGAGCCAGGAAAUAUUUGACACUAAAUCCCUAAUCCAGAUCUUAUUUCAACAUUUGUCUAAAAACCCUCCUGUCUGCCUCCUUAGAAAAUGCAUUCACAGAAAAAAAAGAUUGAAUUACAAUUCCUGAUCUCUCAGCCUAAUAAUAUUUGAAUGCUCUGACCAAAAUGUGUGUACCAGAACAGUUUGUUCUUUAUUUCUUUUUCACUGUGUUUGAAAUUGAAGGUCACUUUUUUUAAACCUGUGGUGAUCUCGGAGCGAUAUUUCCAAUAACAAAUAACUUGUGUGUUAUUUUCCACCAGGAAAGAUUUCUUAUGAGCACACGGGUCAGGGGUCAUGUUCAUGAGGGAAUGGCUCUGUGUAUUCACAACUGACCUGUACUUUCUCAAUGAUAAUUAUGUGGAAUAUGUCAAACCAGACAAACAAGGCCUUUCUGGGUGGUAACAACAUGUUUCUCAGGCAACUGAACCAACCUAUCACCAACUGGAGAGCAGUCCUGACCUACCAUCUACCUCUUUGAAGACUCUCAGACUAUCUUUAAUCAGACUUUACUGUACUCUACUUUGCACUAAACGUUAUUCCCUUUAUCCUAUAUCUGCACACUGUGGAAUGCUUGAUUGCAAUCAUCUAUAAUAUUUCAGUGACUGGAUAGCAAGCGCCAAAAAAUCUUUCCACUGUACCUCAGUACAAGUGACAAUAAUAAACUAAACUACUAACCUUCUCCAUCAAUGCCUUGACACUUAAAGGUCAAACAAGAGAGUCUUCUUUUGUUAACAAAUUGUUAUUUCCUUCAGGCUACAAACUAACAAUAAACAUCUAUCAGGUUUUACCUAGUGUUAUAUUUGAGGAUAAAUAAGCUGCGUCCCAUGUAGUGUCAGCAAUACAUACACAGUUCAGGUGCUGGACAAUAGACAAUAGGUGCAGGAGUAGGCCAUUCAGCCCUUCGGGACAAGCACAAGGUACAAUUUACAGAGGCGCGGCUUUGGGAUGGGGGAGGAAACAGGAACACCCGUAGGAAACUCAUGUGGUCACAGGGAAAACGUACAAAUUCCACACGGACAACAUCCGAUGUCAGGAUGGAACCCGGGUCUCUGGCACAGUGAGGCAGCAGCACUACCAGCUGCGCUGAUGUGCCGCCCUGGUUUAUGAAGACUUGUGAAGAAGCCGAGGGAACAAAUUGCUGAGACCAUGGAAACCUAUAGGCACGUGGAAUAAAGAUGCUCCAACUUAUGUCAAAGAAGCCUAAAGAAAAAUACAAUCAAGUCAUCCACAGUGUACAGACAACGGAUAAAGGUACAACAUUAUGUGCAAGAUAUAACAUUGUAGAAUGAUGAAGUCCUAUUAAAGAUACUUCAAAGCUAAAUGGCAUAACGGGGUGAUCAAAACUGAACAUAAUACUGCACGUGUGGCUUCAGCAACAUCUUGAACAACCACAGCAAAAUAUCUCAGAUUUUAAAUACAAUGCCCCGACUUAUGAAGGCCAGCAUGCCACAAGCAUUCUACGCCACCUUGUCUACCUGUGACGCCACUUUCAGGAAAGAUGUACCAGUACUCCUGAGUCGCUGCGUUUUACAACAUUCCCCGGGUCAGUAUCAUUCACUGUGAAAGUCCUACCUUGGUCUGACUUCCCAAAACGUGCACGUAUCCGAAUAAAACUCCAUUUGCCAUUCCUUGGCCUUCUUACCCAGCUGAAUUAUUGUGAAAUAUUUUGAAUUGUUGAAUUAUUCUUUGGAAAUGCGUCAUGUAUUUAUAAAUGUACUUGAUGAAUGGAAUAGCUUUCAGGCAGAAUGUGUUUGAGGCUUAAAAGGAAUCAAAGGUUUUCUCUAGAAUUCGGGGACAUGUUGUUUGCAACAAAUGUCGCAAUAGAAGAUUACCACAUCUGCUCCGAAAUUCAAAUACCAUAUGGUCUCAAGAACUAACAUUAUUAAUAUUGCAAUAGAUCAACUGAUAAUAAUGUCAGAUAGAGAUCUCAAGUACAAUUCCCUCUGGUAAUAAAACAUCCUGAGACUUUGUCAGCAUAGCUCAGCUGUUGGGGAAGUGCUAGUACCCUGUAAUUUAAGCUGCAACAAAUAUAUUUUGAAUCUUUUCAUAGAGAAAAUCUAGUUUAAAAUUAUGCCAAAUGUUAAGAUUGCACUGGGGUUGAUCUUGACUUUGUGGAAUACUUUAAAUAGAUGCUAGGAAACCAGUGGCAUGUUUUAUAUCUUUCCAUUUCCAUAGAAACUGCCUAAAGUCUAUAUCGAUUUCCUUGCAUUCAGAAAAGCCUAUUGAGUUUGAAUUUUAAAAUGUCAGAGUUUCAAAGUGCUUCACUGUGCGAAGAAGACUGGUGGGCAACGUGGAUGGAAUCAAGGAGGUUAGUUAGGCAUGUCUCCAAUGACUCUGACCUUUCUGUAGAUGCACAGUGGAAAGCGCACUGUCGGGGUGCAUCACAACUUGAUUUGGCGACAAAUAGGGCAGCACGGUGGCGCACCGGUAGAGUUGCUGCCUUACAGCGAAUGUAGCGCCGGAGAACCGGGUUCAAUCCUAACUGCUGUCUGUAUGGAGUUUGUACAUUCUCCCCGUGACUUGCGUGGGUUUUCUACAAGAUCUUCGGUUUCCUCCCACACUCAAAAGAAUUACAGGUUUGUAGGUUAAUGGGCUUGCUAAAUGUAAAAAUUAUCCCUAGUGGGUAUAGGAUAGUGGUAAUGUGCGACGAUCCCUGGUGGGCCGAAAGGGCCUGUUUCCACACUGUAUCUCUCAACUAAAAAAAGCCUAAGACCACAAGAAAUUACAGAGAGUUGUGGAUGUAGUCCUGUCCAUCACACAAACCAGCCUCCACAUCAUUAACUACAUCUACACUUCAUGCUGUCUUGGGAAUAUAGCCAAUGACCAUUUUCACCCUGGUCAUUCCCUCUUCAUCCCGCUUCCAUGUGCAGAAGAUACAAAAUCUUGAAAGCAUGUACCAUUAGAUUCAGGAAUAGUUUAUUCCCCACUGUUAUCGGGCUACUGCAUAAUUCAUCCCUAAGCUAGGGUGUAGUACUGAUCCUCCAACCCACCACUUUGCAGACC